GCAUUGGUGGCUCAACAGUAGAGUUUUUGCCUCCCAUGCAGGAGACCUGGGUUUGAUUCCCGGCCAAUGUA
rnacentral:tRNA from 1 species